CACAUUUUCUUCCAAGACAUCAAAAACGAAUCAGUCGCAGAGGUGCAGAGCGAUAGAGGGCGUCGGCGAAAGAUGGCCAGCAACUCUGUCGUCUUCGUGUCGAUCGCCUGCGCGAUCUGGUACGUGCUGCUUCGCCAGCGCCUUGUUCCUGUCAAGCUCAUGCGGGCGUGGUUUCUGAUGGUCAACAUCCUGACGAUUCUGCCGGUGUCGGCGCUGACGAAGCUCGUUGUGCAGCUUGGCCGCCUCGGUGUGCCGACGUACUACGUGCAGCGACUGUGCAUUAUACCGCUGGUCGUGGCCUUCCGCAUGGUGUGGUGGCUUAACCCGCAGAUCCGCAUGCAACUCUGCUUUGACCCCGAUGGGAAUGGCCAGCGGCUGUCGUGGGAGGACAUCAGCCAGCAUCACGGCGCGUACGUCGGCAACCACGCCUCCUUCUGGGACGUCUACGCCUUCAUUGGACUGACACCGUUUAGGCAGCUCCUCAACACACGCACGAUGAUGAAGUCGUCGCUGCGCAAGAUCCCGAUCUUCGGCGGCGUCUUCGACCGCGUCGGGCACUUCCCCGUGUACUUCAAGUCGGGCGAGGACGGUAACUUCGAGGUGGAUAAGGAGAAGCAGGCGCAGGUGCAGAAGGGCGCCGACGCCCACAUCGCCAGCGGCGGCAACCUCGCUAUCUUCCCUGAGGGCGCCAUCAAUAAGAAUCCGCGGGUUCUGCAGCCGUUCCGCUACGGCACCUUCCACACCAUUUUCAAGCAUCGCAUGGAAACCUACUACAUGGUGCAUGCAGGUGCCGAGAAGACAUGGCCGUGGUGGACGAUGAUUGGCGGCAUGCCGACGGACAUGCACGUACGCGUUGGCCGCUUCCCUAUCGACUACGAUCACGAGGACAGCAAGGACGUCUCAAGGCGAAUGCAGCAGCACAUGCAGAAAGUGUACAAUGAGAUUCUGGCGGAAACGGAAGGCAAGGACGCCAUCAGCGCCGAGGCGAAGGCGUCCUGAGCAGUAACCCGAACGGUGGGGAAGCAGAGCUGAUGGGAAGUGACGUAGGGCACGGUUCGCGUCCUGCAGGCACUGUAUUGUGAGUGGCGGAGGACGGGGCAGCAAGGGACGGCGUGCGAGACAAGCCAAACCGAUCCUUGGAGCAGGAGAGAGGGAUGCGCAGGCGCCUGUGGGCAAAGGGCGAGUGAAAGAUGCAGAUAAGGUGUGAAGCCGGACGCGCGAUCGACGACGUGCGCCGUCCCCUCCUCCCUACCAUUCGUCCCCCUCAGCCAUCCCCCCCCCCCAGACGCUGGUGCAGCUGGAUGUAAUGCAUUCUUUGCAUUUUCAUGUGCGCACUCUCUCUCCUGUGGCACGUGCUGUCCUGUGCAGGCACAUGCCCUACGGCCCUCUGCUUCUCCCUUCCCUUCAUGUUCGCUCAGGCACGUCGGGUUGGUUUGAAGUCUAUCGCAUCGUCGGCCUUACCUAUCUGUAUGUGCAUACGAGGGAAGGGAGGGAAAGGACGUGGCGCGAUGAGAGAAACGAUGCGUGCAGAUGCCAACGCACGAGAGCGACUCUCUUUCAUUUUCUGCGCUGGCUGUGCAUCUCUGUGGAUUCUAUCAAGCUGCGAGAGGCGCGCGCGUUCGUGUUCGGUGCUCUUCUCGCUUUUAUUUCUCAUCUUGCUGCCCUUCUUUGGGGGGGGAGCUUGCUGAGGAAAGCACACGCGCACGCCGCUGAAAGGGCAGCGACGCCGCUGAAAGGGCAGCGACGCCGCCUCCCACUUGUUGCUUGUUGCCAUUCAUCGUUUCUCUCACCUCUUCCCCGUUCUGAGUAGAGCACUCCUGCUUCAGG
rnacentral:misc_RNA from 1 species